rnacentral:rRNA from 1 species
GAUGAACGCUGGCGGCGUGCCUAAUACACGCAAGUCGAGCGAACAGAUAAGGAGCUUGCUCCUUUGACGUUAGCGGCGGACGGGUGAGUAACACGUGGGUAACCUACCUAUAAGACUGGAAUAACUCCGGGAAACCGGGGCUAAUGCCGGAUAACAUUUAGAACCGCAUGGUUCUAAAGUGAAAGAUGGUUUUGCUAUCACUUAUAGAUGGACCCGCGCCGUAUUAGCUAGUUGGUAAGGUAACGGCUUACCAAGGCAACGAUACGUAGCCGACCUGAGAGGGUGAUCGGCCACACUGGAACUGAGACACGGUCCAGACUCCUACGGGAGGCAGCAGUAGGGAAUCUUCCGCAAUGGGCGAAAGCCUGACGGAGCAACGCCGCGUGAGUGAUGAAGGUCUUCGGAUCGUAAAACUCUGUUAUUAGGGAAGAACAAAUGUGUAAGUAACUGUGCACGUCUUGACGGUACCUAAUCAGAAAGCCACGGCUAACUACGUG